CCUACAGGAGGCAGCAGUGAGGAAUAUUGGUCAAUGGACGAGAGUCUGAACCAGCCAAGUAGCGUGAAGGAUGACUGCCCUAUGGGUUGUACACUUCUUUUAUAAAGGAAUAAAACGAGGCACGUGUGCCUUUUUGCAUGUACUUUAUGAAUAAGGAUCGGCUAACUUAGUGCCAGCAGCCGCGGUAAUACGGAGGAUCCGAGCGUUAUCCGGAUUUAUUGGGUUUAAAGGGAGCGUAGAUGGGUUGUUACGUCAGUUGUGAAAGUUUGCUGCUCAACCGUAAAAGUGCAAUUGAUACUGGCAGUCUUGAGUACAGUUGAGGUAGGCGGAAUUCGUGGUGUAGCGGUGAAAUGCUUAGAUAUCACGAAGAACCCCGAUUGCGAAGGCAGCUUACUAAACUGUGACUGACAUUGAUGCUCGAAAGUGUGGGUAUCAAACAGGAUUAGAUACCCUUGUAGUC
rnacentral:rRNA from 1 species